CUAAUAAGUAUUUACGAGCUAACAACUAAUGGAUAGUUAAGAAAUACCUAACGUGUAGCUUACAACUAACGAUGACUAUCAAGCUAACAACUCACGUCGAGCAAACAACUGACUUCCAACUUAUAUCUAGCUACAGUAUAAACUAACAAGUAUCUUACAACUAAUGUAUAUCCAUCCAUCCAUUUUCUGAGCCGCUUCUCCUCACUAGGGUCGCGGGCGUGCUGGCGCCUAUCCCAGCUAUCAUCGGGCAGGAGGCGGAGUACACCCUGAACUGGUUGCCAGCCAAUCGCAGGGCACAUGUAAACAAACAACCAUUUGCACUCACAUUCACAUCUACGGGCAAUUUAGAGUUGUCAAUUAACCUACCACGCAUGUUUUGGGGAUGUGGGAGGAAACCGGAGUGCCCGGAGAAAACCCACGCAGGCACGGGGAGAACAUACAAACUCCACACAGGCGGGGCCGGGGAUUGAACCCCGGACCUCAGAACUGAGAGGCAGACGCUCUAAACAGUCGUCCACCGUGCCGCCCUAAUGUACAUUUAAAAUCAAAUUUCUAACUAACAACAUCCUGCUAAACACUGUGUAAAGAGCAUCUAACAACUACCAACAAACAUCUAGCUAACAAUUAACUACGAACAUAUAGCAAACAAGUAAAUGUUUAACUAACAAGUGUAGCUAAAACUAGCAUCUAGCUACAGCCAACCAUAGUUUAACCCAGUGAUUCCUAACCAGUGUGCCGCGAGAGCGCUUGUGUGCCGUGGGAAAUGGUCAAAAUGUUAUUUAUUUAUUUAUUAAUUAUUAUAAAACUUAAAUGAUUUUAGCAAAUGGCUGCAAUAUAAAAAAAGAGUGAAAAUUUCAAGGCGGUCUGAAUACUUUCUGUACCCACUGUAUAUCUUAGUUGUUAGCUACACAUUAGCUGCUGUAACCUGUACGUUAGUUGUCAACGAGAUUGUUAGUUCGACGUUAAUUGUUAGCUUGACCUUAGCUUUUGUUAGCAUGACAUUAGCGUUUUUUUGCUAGACGUUAGCUGGUUGUUAGAUCUUUGUUAUUAGAUUUUAGACUUUAGCUGUUGAUAUCUAUGCAGUUGUUAGUUGUUAGCGAGGCAAUUGUUAGUUGAACUAUUUUUGUCAACAGUUAUCUAGACAUGGGUUGUUAGCAAGACAUUAGUUGGUAGUUAGUUGUAAACUAGACAUUAGCGCUUAGCUAGUUUUGGCUAUAUGUUGUUAUUAGUAGUUAGCUAGACAAUUGUCCUUUUUUAGCAAGACAUCAGCUGCUACUACCUAUAUGUUAUUUGUUAGCUGUACGUCAACCAGAAUCUAGGUGUUAUUUGGACUUUAAUUGUUAAUUGUUAGCUAGCUGUUAGCUGUUGUUACCUAUAUGUUAGUUGCUUGCCAAACAUUAGCAGUUGUUAGACCUUAGUGUCUGGCUCUCACACUUUAAUAAAUUAGGUUUCUUUACCUCUACUUUCCGGGUGUGUCGGUGUGGCUGUCAACCAAGCCGUCAGUGUUUUUUCUCUACUCUGUGAUUGGCGGGCAGUCAGGGAGCCACUUUCUGUCGUGGAUUGAUGAAUAUUCCGACUGCUUGCUGCAACAUUCCCAUGCUACGCUAUGUGAGCCAUGAAAAACCCACCCGCUCAAUGUGUGUGUAUGUCAAGAAUCCAGAAGCCGUCUGUCCGUCUGUCUGUCUUUUCCCAUCUGGUGCUGCCUUCCCCCAUAAACAUGCCAGACUGAUUAUUUUUAUCCGCUGCCCUCGAGUGUUUUUGUCUGCGACUCCUCAACAAACAAAAACAACUGAAAAGAAAAACAAAGACAAAUGUGUGUAAAUAGGUCGCCAGGAGAUCCAUUAGUUUUUAUUUGACACAAAACUACAAGUAUUCUCGUCGGGAUUGCAGAAAGUGUCAGCUUUGUCCUGAAUACUCCGUGUCCGGAGAGAUUAAAUUUAGCAUUUUGGUGCCGGACAGGAAAUCCUACUUCAAUUGUCCAUGCAGGGGGAAGUUCAAUAGCCCCUGUUUGUUGUCUGUUAGGAGUCAGUCAUUAGCUACACGCUACUGAGUUGAUAUCUAGAUGUUAGCUGUUAGCUGGCCUUGAGAUGUUUGUUUUUAAGUAAAUGUUAGCUGUUGUUAGGAAGACUUUAGUUAAUAGUUGGUGGUCAGAAUUUAGUUAGCUGUACUCGAGUUGUUUGUAUUUAGCUAUAUAUUAGCUGUUAGCUACACGUCUGUUGGUAUUUGGUUGUAAAACAGAUGUCAUUUGACGGCGAUACAUAAUUGUUAGCUAGCCCCAGAGGUGGCAAUUAGAAGUCUAACGUGGCCUUUUGUUGCCGUCAUGCAACAAAGAGGACGCGUUUGUGGUUUUUAAUCAUGAAAGACAGGCCCCCAGGUCCUCUAAGAGAAUACGUUUGUAGUUUUUAAUCUUGAAAGACAAGUCCUCGUGGGGUGAAAUGCUUUUGUUGUCUGAUAUUUUUUUUUUCUCUGCCUAAGCCGCCGUCAGACUUUCUAACCACGGCGAGGACGCCAAGCAAUCUGUCGCCACCGCCAUCAUCAUGAUAAAAAAGACGUAAGAAAAAAGUAAUUGUCAAGUUAGUUUGCUUUCCACGUGUGACGACACCCCCUUACGACCUUUUUAAUUUUACCUCCGCGAAGCACAGGACACCAACUUGUUUUUCACCGUUAGCAGCACAAAUUAUUCAUCAUAAGGGUUCUUCUAUCUUUUGUAUCUUAACAUUGUCUAUCGUCUAACGUAAUCAAAUCAAUCAAAAGCUUUAUAUAACCAGAAAAUAAAAACCCAUUGAGACCAAGGUCUCUUUUUCAUGGGUGAUCUGGCCAAAAUGGCGAUGAACAAUUCACGUCAUAACAGACAGUUACCGUUAAAAACAACUACAUUAUAGCUAAGCUUAAAAUAAACUAUGCUAGUUAAUGUCCAGCUAACCACUAGCUAACAACUAGCUAACAACUACCUAACAACUAAUGUCUAGCUAUCAACUAAUGACUAGGUAACAACCACAGUACAUCUGGCUAAUAGCUAAUGCUGGGCUAACAACUAACAACUAGCUAACAAUUAACAUCUACCUAAUUAACAACUACUGUCCAGCUGUUUUCUAGUGAACAACUAACGUCAAGCUAAAAAGGAACACCAGGGGCUCUAUUUUCACUACUGGCAUAAAUCCAGUGUGGCGUGUGGCUUAACUCUGCAUGGAGGCGCGUUAGACCCGGUGUUUAUAUAUUUGAGGACCAGCACACUCGUGUGUAUCUGCUACGCUCACUUGUGCGCCGUUGUUAGCAUGAACAAUCCUGUCCAAUUGAAGAGACAACUCUCAUUUCCUUUAAAUGCAGUGCGCGAGUGACUCACUGACAGUUUUUGACAUGGCAGAAAAAUAAAGUGAGAUCACCGAUCUGUACCGUGAAAUUGGCACUUGGAGACCGACCUCCCCCACGAUCGUUCGUGUGCCCCAUGCUGGCCAGUGGGAUGAUUGAUAUAAUGGUGAUAAUAAUUAUAAAGUGUUCAAUGAAUUGAUUUCUACAAUUCAGAGGGUUUGAUGUGGACCAAUCAAAUUCAUCAAAAUCGCGUUACACCAGCCAUCUAAGGUUAGACGUGGUCUGAGCAGGUGUAAGUUUAGACUGGCUUUCAGCCAACAAAUUGUCGCAUGCGCUGUGCGGAUGUCAAAGGCCGGUAUGCACAGCUUAGCGCAGACCGGUCUGCCAAAUGGGCAAACGCAUAGCGAGCCUUGUGCUUGCAUGAAAAUCUAAAUACGUUUUUAUGCUCUGCCGCAAUCUAUGAAAAGUUCAUGUCUAGAAAACAACUGACAUCUACCUAACUAGCGGCUGGCAAAAUAACUAAAAUCUAGCUAGCUAAAUAAUUAAAAUCUAGCUAAUGACUAGCUAACAACAAACGUACAACAAACAACAAAUCUCUCGCAAACAACUAACAUCUGGCUAAUGUCUCGCAAACAAAUACCUAGCCAACUAAGCUCUAGUUCACAGCUGAAGUCUAACUAACAACUAACAUCUAGCUUGCAACUUAAGUCGAGCUAACAACUAACAACUAAAAUCUAACGUCCAGCUAAUGUCUAGCUAACAGCUAAUGUCCAGCUAAUACUCAUAUCUAGUUGACAACUAACUUCCAAUUUUUAGCUAAAAACUGUCACCUGGGCAACAAACGCUGAGCUUACUAAAUAAAAACUAACCUAUACCUUGGUAGUCAGUCGUUGGCUACAUGUUAGGCAUUAGUCAUUAGCAGUACAUAAAUUGUUAGCUAGAUGAUAGUUCUAAGCUCAACGUUAGCGAGAACCCCCGCAUAUUCAUAGAACCUAUCCUCCAUUAUUUGCUGAAAAACAUACAUAUUCGCUGUUAUGCUGCCAUCUUGUGGCAUCUACGUGUAAUUAUAAAUCUUCGAGCAGCAACGAUUACAAAUUUUCUCGACUGGGAGAACUUGGUCCCUAUUCCCCGCAAAUACUGGGGGAACACAAACUUGACAUCAUGUCGAUGUUUCUGACUCUUUGAACUCCAUCUGUGUGGGUGCGUGUGUGUGUGUGUGUGAGUGCGUGUGUCUAUGUAUGAAUAAGCGAAUAAGCGCCACAAGAACUUCAAAGGCGCUACUCGUUGGCUAACGCACCGAAGGCGGAGAUUUACUCACGUUGCAGCAAAGUGAAAGCAGCAAAAUGACGACGCAGAGGGUUUCACGCCGUCGUCGGCGUCGUCGUCUGGGAGGUUUGACACGUGUCGUCCUCGGCCAGGUAAAUAUGCAAAUGAGCGUCUUCCAGAGGCCAGGAUUACUCAAAGAAAGCUUUGCUGUUGAGCCCUGACAGCUUUCACAGAAAGAUUUAAGAAAAAGAAAAAAACAGCUUUUCAUCCGCUACCCUCUUUCUUACAAGGAAUAAUGUAGAACACUUGGUCUUUAUCCAUCUAUCUCCCUAACUACAAUCUAUCCAUCUAGCCUUCUACCUAACUAGCCAUCUUGUUAUGGUUUUUGGUGAUGGCAAAAACGAGGGACCACAGCACAAAGAAGCAGGGAGGCAAGGCGGGAAUGCAGGAGGCAAAACAGGAAAAAAGACAUGACCAGGGACGUGACGUAGAGCAAUGAUCCGACAAAGACUGAAAGAAACCAGGGAGAAAUGCAAGCAAACUGCCGAGACAACGAGGCACACCGAAACGAGGCACGAGUGGCUGGAGGUCGAGGUCUGACGAAAACAGGUUCACGGCUCACCGGACUCGCUAACGAGAAACAAAAAAAGCGUCAGCCUGCCAAAAGACGGAGCGAACUAAGCCGAGCGUGCCGGCGCCCAGACGGGGCUGACGGCCGGGAUUUAGGAGGCAAUCUCGACGGGACACCACCCGGAGAGUACGGGAACGCCGCGACGCCUCGUCGGGGUCCACCUUGGACAAGUGUGAAAGGUACCAGCGUGGAAUGGGGGCUCAAAGUCGACCUGCAAAUUUGCCGGCUUCGGAGGUACAAUCAGAGGAUGUGACAGGACCCAGAAUGGAGGGUUGAAGUUGACCCACACGUUU